CGGCAACAGCUCAAAUUUAAAAUCUGGCCUCUUCGGGGCCCGAGUUGUAAUUUGUAGAGGAUGUUUUGGGUACCGCACCGGUUUAAAUUUCUUGGAACAGAAUGUCAGAGAGGGUGAGAGCCCCGUACAGUUGGACACUAAGCCCAUGUGAAGCUCCUUCGAC
rnacentral:rRNA from 1 species